rnacentral:rRNA from 1 species
UACGGGGGGGGCAAGCGUUGUUCGGAAUUACUGGGCGUAAAGGGCUCGUAGGCGGCCAACUAAGUCAGACGUGAAAUCCCUCAGCUUAACUGGGGAACUGCGUCUGAUACUGGAUGGCUUGAAUCCGGGAGAGGGAUGCGGAAUUCCAGGUGUAGCGGUGAAAUGCGUAGAUAUCUGGAGGAACACCGGUGGCGAAGGCGACAUCCUGGACCGGUAUUGACGCUGAGUGAGCGAAAGCCAGGGGAGCAAACGGG